rnacentral:lncRNA from 1 species
GCAGUGAGGAACAACAGAGGAUAUCGAAACCUCCAUGAAUUGAUUCCACUCCACUUUUCAGUUCUUUGAGCUCUCUAUGUAGCACAGUUUCCCCCUCUAUAAACAUUAAACUCAGUUCUUAGGUUAUUUAAACCAUCUCAAGUUUGUGAAACUUCUUUCGAUGUCAAUUUUCAAUCAGUUUUCAAACAACAACCAUUGUGCAAAAUAGAAUGCCCAAAAAAGAAAAGAAAUAGAAUGCCCAAGAUGUAUAGACUAAUCCAAGAUGUAUAAAAAUAGAAAUAGAAUGCCCAAGAUGUAUAGACUAAUUCAAAUCAUUACAACUCUGUCAAUGCAAGACAUUUUAUGAUGACAAUCACUUCAUUUAUUACCUUCAUUCUGACAUUUUUACUUGCAGUAAUGACUUUGAAGUAAGCUGAAGACCAAGAUAGUGCGUAUACGCUCCUUUAGUUCUUUACCAAGGAAAGAGGGAAGACCAAUCUGCUUUCUUAUUGAGUCAAUAAUUUGCUCUGCAGAAAUAAUCAAAAUUGUUGAAAAAUAUAUAUAGAGAUAAAGAACUACUAACAAAGAAAGCAACCCCUGCUAAAACGCUAACCCUAGAAAUACAGAAUAUCAUAAAUCCGCAAUAGAUUAAAUAUAAUUUACACAAUAAUAAAUUACUAUGCCUAUGCUAUUAUCCCCUUCAAAAAUAAUAAAGAGAGCAUGUAUAUCACUAUGCCUAUGCUAUUAUCAUUUAAGCAAAUAAACUCAAAUGGUUACAGACCAUAUAUAUAAUCAGGAUUAAGAAGAUUAAAAUGGGUAAAUACGUUGCAGCAAUCAUUUCAUGGUAUAAUGUCAAUAGAGAUGAAAUAUAGAGGAGAAUUAGUCUCAUUUAUUCCUUCUAUAAACAUUCAACAGAGUGACGUUUGAGGUGAGCUACUGCAAAAUAGAAUGCCCAAAAAAAGAAAAGAAAUAGAAUGCCCAAAAAGCACACCGGGGAAAAAAAAUCACACCGGCUCUGAGAGAAAACGAAAUGGUGAAACUCUGUGGGAGAAACGAAAGUUAUGCCAACUCGGGGACCUUGCCGUUGCCAUUAUUGCACCGGCGAACAGUUACUAGAAGAGAGAGAGACGUGCGAUAGAGGAAGUGUGCGAC